rnacentral:rRNA from 1 species
GUUCCGGUUGAUCCUGCCGGACCUGACUGCUAUCGGAUUGAUACUAAGCCAUGCGAGUCAUUGUAGCAAUGCAAGGCAGACGGCUCAGUAACGCGUAGUCUUCCGAACCUAUGGACGGGAAUAACCUCGGGAAACUGAGAAUAAUGCCCGAUAGAACACUAUACCUGGAAUGGUUUGUGUUCCAAAUGAUUUAUCGCCGUAGGAUGGGACUGCGGCCUAUCAGUUUGUUGGUGAGGUAAUGGCCCACCAAGACUAUUACAGGUACGGGCUCUGAGAGGAGUAGCCCGGAGAUGGGUACUGAGACACGGACCCAGGCCCUAUGGGGCGCAGCAGGCGAGAAAACUUUGCAAUGUGCGAAAGCACGACAAGGUUAAUCCGAGUGAUUUGUGCUAAACGAAUCUUUUGUUAGUCCUAGAACCACUAACGAAUAAGGGGUGGGCAAGUUCUGGUGUCAGCCGCCGCGGUAAAACCAGCACCUCAAGUGGUCAGGAUGAUUAUUGGGCCUAAAGCAUCCGUAGCCGGCUCUGUAAGUUUUCGGUUAAAUCUGUACGCUUAACGUACAGGCUGCCGGGAAUACUGCAGAGCUAGGGAGUGGGAGAGGUAGACGGUACUCGGUAGGAAGGGGUAAAAUCCUUUGAUCUAUUGAUGACCACCUG